AGCCUUCCGUCCUUUCGAGGUUCUCCAGCGAAGGCUGGAGCUAAGAGGGAACGUGGUCCAAGCCACGGCUGCCCCCGCAACUGUAAACAGCCGAUGCCCUGUCCACAGCCACUGCCCCACGGGCGGGAAGGCGGACCCGGCGGCGCCCCGCGCCAGGCUGUGAGCCAGGAGACCUGCCUCGCACAGAUUCCAGAC
rnacentral:ncRNA from 2 species